rnacentral:piRNA from 1 species
GGGUUGGAAAGGCUGACUUGUGCAC